GAUGAAGAACGUAGCGAAAUGCGAUACGUAAUGUGAAUUGCAGAAUUCAGUGAAUCAUCGAAUCUUUGAACGCAUAUUGCGCUCUUUGGUAUUCCGAAGAGCAUGCUUGUUUGAGUAUCAGUAAACACCUCAAAGACUUCAAUUUGUUUUGAAUGGCUUUGGACUUGAGCAAUCCCAACACCAGUCUUUACGAUCGGUGGAGAGUUGCUUGAAAUGCAGGUGCAGCUGGACAUUCUCCUGAGCUAAAAGCAUAUUUAUUUAGUCCCGUCAAACGGAUUAUUACUUUUGCUGCAGCUAACAUAAAGGGAGUUUGACCGUAUUGGCUGACUGAUGCAGGAUUUCACAAGGGUCGGCAACGAUUCUUGUAAAACUCGAUCUCAAAUCAAGUAAGACUACCCGCUGAACUUAAGCAUAUCAAUAAGCGGAGGA
rnacentral:misc_RNA from 1 species